rnacentral:rRNA from 1 species
GAUGAACGCUAGCUACAGGCUUAACACAUGCAAGUCGAGGGGUAACGAGAGGAAAGCUUGCUUUCCUUGUCGACGACCGGCGCACGGGUGAGUAACGCGUAUCCAACCUGCCCCCAACUAAGGAAUAACCUUGCGAAAGUAAGACUAAUACCUUAUAAUUUCCUCAGAUGUCAUCUGACGAGGAAUAAAGAUUUAUCGGUUGUGGAUGGGGAUGCGUCUGAUUAGCUUGUUGGCGGGGUAACGGCCCACCAAGGCAACGAUCAGUAGGGGUUCUGAGAGGAAGGACCCCCACAUUGGAACUGAGACACGGUCCAAACUCCUACGGGAGGCAGCAGUGAGGAAUAUUGGUCAAUGGGCGGAAGCCUGAACCAGCCAAGUAGCGUGCAGGAUGACGGCCCUAUGGGUUGUAAACCGCUUUUAUACAGGAAUAAAGUUAGCCACGUGUGGUUAUUUGUAGGUACUGUAUGAAUAAGGACCGGCUAAUUCCGUGCCAGCCGCCGCCGUAA